rnacentral:rRNA from 1 species
UACGAAGGGGGCUAGCGUUGCUCGGAAUUACUGGGCGUAAAGCGCACGUAGGCGGCUUUCUAAGUCGGGGGUGAAAUCCUGGAGCUCAACUCCAGAACUGCCUUUGAUACUGGGAGUCUUGUAGUUCGGGAGAGGUGAGUGGAACUGCGAGUGUAGAGGUGAAAUUCGUAGAUAUUCGCAAGAACACCAGUGGCGAAGGCGGCUCACUGGCCCGAUACUGACGCUGAGGUGCGAAAGCGUGGGGAGCAAAGCAGG